rnacentral:rRNA from 1 species
GACGAACGCUGGCGGCGUGCUUAACACAUGCAAGUCGAGCGGUAAGGCCCUUUCGGGGUACACGAGCGGCGAACGGGUGAGUAACACGUGGGUGACCUGCCCUCAGCUCUGGGAUAAGCCCGGGAAACGUGGGUCUAAUACUGGAUAUUACUCUGCGGUGCAUGCCGUGGGGUGGAAAGCCUUGUGCGGCUGGGGAUGGCCCGCGGCCUAUCAGCUUGUUGGUGGGGUGAUGGCCCACCAAGGCGACGACGGUAGCCGGCCCCGAGAGGGCGACCGGCCACACUGGGACUGAGACACGGCCCAGACUCCUACGGGAGGCAGCAGUCGGGAAUUUU